CACAGAGGAACUUGCAGGUGGAUCUUAGAAGAGAAUUGGACCACUUUGCAGAACGUGAAGGACUACAGCAGUGGAACAUUAAAAGAAGUUACGCCUUGUCUGAGUGUCGCUGAGCCUGGAUAUGAGCUGGCAUAAGAAAUCAUUAGAGAGGGACAAAGAGGCAGCAUUCACGGGAGAGAAAGGAACUCGAAAUAAGAAACAGAGGAUCAUCAGGAAGAAGAUAUCAUCCCUUGCCCUGCUCUGUGGAUCAUUAAAAACACAAAACCUGAAGAAGCAGAUACCAGAGGAGAAAGCCAAACCUCCGAGGCGAAUUGGGCCAAAAGAACCCAAGACGACCCAUGAAGAAUCAUGUUGUGGCCGGAUGGAGCACCCUAGAACAAUGUGCCCUAAAUGUGAGAUAGUUAGCUGUCGAAAAUGUGACACUCUACACGCCCACUCCCUGUUUGUGGCUCACAGUCUAUUAGAUCAUUAUGAUGUUUGAGAGUGCUCAGACAUAACUUGAAAAUACAAAUUGUAAUGACUAUUUCAUAGUUGAUAAAAGUUACAUAAUAACGGUUUAAUUAAUCCUUCCUUACGGAGACCAAACCUAAAGUUACACAAUUAUAACACUGCAGAAAAACUAACCAAUAAAUGACAUUUACCUGCAAAUUAAAACAAUCUAUAAAAUGAAAGAUUGCUAGUUUACACAAUCCAACAGUCAGUUAAUGUCUGUAUUGUGUUUUAAGUUUUUUAAAAAUUGUAAUUCAUGUAUAUUGAAAAUAUGUGCAUCAUAGCAUAAGGCAACACACGUGUUGCAAAACCAGAAAUGGUAAGAUUACAGU